UACGAAGGGGGCUAGCGUUGUCCGGAAUUAUUGGGCGUAAGGAGCUCGUAGGCGGUCUGUCGCGUCGAUCGUGAAAACUUGGGGCUUAACCCUGAGCUUGCGGUCGAUACGGGCAUGACUGGAGUUCGGCAGGGGAGACUGGAAUUCCUGGUGUAGCGGUGAAAUGCGCAGAUAUCAGGAGGAACACCGGUGGCGAAGGCGGGUCUCUGGGCCGAUACUGACGCUGAGGAGCGAAAGCGUGGGGAGCGAACAGG
rnacentral:rRNA from 1 species